AUUUUCCUAUCAUUUUACCCCUUUUAUUGCCACUUUUCUGGUCUUUUAACUUCUUUCAGCGAAUGAGAGAGAGAGAGGGAGGUUUUGGAGCGUUUGGAGAGUAGAAAAGACACCACAA
rnacentral:ribozyme from 1 species